UGGAUCCAGACUUUGAUUAUGGCUCAGGAUGAACGCUGGCGGCGUGCCUAAUACAUGCAAGUCGAACGAAACUUCUUUAUCACCGAGUGCUUGCACUCACCGAUAAAGAGUUGAGUGGCGAACGGGUGAGUAACACGUGGGCAACCUGCCCAAAAGAGGGGGAUAACACUUGGAAACAGGUGCUAAUACCGCAUAACCAUAGUUACCGCAUGGUAACUAUGUAAAAGGUGGCUAUGCUACCGCUUUUGGAUGGGCCCGCGGCGCAUUAGCUGGUUGGUGGGGUAAAGGCUUACCAAGGCAAUGAUGCGUAGCCGAACUGAGAGGUUGAUCGGCCACAUUGGGACUGAGACACGGCCCAAACUCCUACGGGAGGCAGCAGUAGGGAAUCUUCCACAAUGGGCGAAAGCCUGAUGGAGCAACGCCGCGUGGGUGAAGAAGGUCUUCGGAUCGUAAAACCCUGUUGUUAGAGAAGAAAGUGCGUGAGAGUAACUGUUCACGUUUCGACGGUAUCUAACCAGAAAGCCACGGCUAACUACGUGCCAGCAGCCGCGGUAAUACGUAGGUGGCAAGCGUUAUCCGGAUUUAUUGGGCGUAAAGGGAACGCAGGCGGUCUUUUAAGUCUGAUGUGAAAGCCUUCGGCUUAACCGGAGUAGUGCAUUGGAAACUGGGAGACCUGAGUGCAGAAGAGGAGAGUGGAACUCCAUGUGUAGCGGUGAAAUGCGUAGAUAUAUGGAAGAACACCAGUGGCGAAAGCGGCUCUCUGGUCUGUAACUGACGCUGAGGUUCGAAAGCGUGGGUAGCAAACAGGAUUAGAUACCCUGGUAGUCCACGCCGUAAACGAUGAAUGCUAAGUGUUGGAGGGUUUCCGCCCUUCAGUGCUGCAGCUAACGCAAUAAGCAUUCCGCCUGGGGAGUACGACCGCAAGGUUGCAACUCAAAUGAAUUGACGGA
rnacentral:rRNA from 1 species